rnacentral:rRNA from 1 species
UCAGUCGACUCCUACGGGGAGGCAGCAGUGGGGAAUAUUGCACAAUGGGGGAAACCCUGAUGCAGCCAUGCCGCGUGUGUGAAGAAGGCCUUCGGGUUGUAAAGCACUUUCAGUAGGGAGGAAGGUAGUGUAGUUAACACCUGCACUAUUUGACGUUACCUACAGAAGAAGCACCGGCUAACUCCGUGCCAGCAGCCGCGGUAAUACGGAGGGUGCGAGCGUUAAUCGGAAUUACUGGGCGUAAAGCGCAUGCUGGCGGCCUGUUAAGUCAGAUGUGAAAGCCCGGGGCUUAACCUCGGAAUUGCAUUUGAAACUGGCAGGCUAGAGUCUUGUAGAGGGGGGUAGGAAUUUCAGGUGUAGCGGUGAAAUGCGUAGAGAUCUGAAGGAAUACCAGUGGCGAAGGCGGCCCCCUGGACAAAGACUGACGCUCAGAUGCGAAAGCGUGGGGAGCAAACAGGAUUAGAUACCCUGGUAG